rnacentral:rRNA from 1 species
GUCUACAACCAUACCACCCUGAACAGGCCAAUCUAGUCUGAUCUCGGAAGCUAAGCAAGGUCGGGCCUGGUUAGUACUUGAAUGAGAGACCACCUAGGAAUAUCAGGUGCUGUAGGCG